CAGAUAGUCACUGUAUUCAGUGAUUCAGAACAGAUCAAAGUAUAUAAAAUAAACUAAGCAGAAACAGAAAAAAAGCAAAAUAGGUGCAAGUCGCUGUUAUCCCCAAAUAAAAUAUUAAACAAUCUCUGGAUUUUAGAAGAAGCAGUAGUAGAUCUCUAACAGCACUGUGAAAAUCACCCAUGCUACUUCUACUCAAGUCUUAACUAUAACAAAUUUCAAAAUUUGCUACACCUGAUACACCAGAUUUAUCCAUGUUAGCUGAUUUCUUGCUAGCUGACAGCACCUGUUUUAUUCUAAACUAGUUACAGCUAAUUGUCAAUAAAUGGAGAGAAGGUAAUCUUGCUAUUGUGUCUUGACUGUUUACUGGCAAAUGUUCUUAAAGCUUUUCUUUUUUUUUUUCUUCCUUCUCUUCCUUUUAGGUAAAGUAUUUCUAUAUGUGUAAGUUUGCAGGGGAAAAAAAGAGUAAAAUAAAUAGCAGUCAUUAAUGAUCUUUUCCCUAUGAUUUCUAAAGCUGGAAAUGUGUUUGUGUAGCUGUUUUGUGUUGCUGAUUAAUGUAAUUGAGCCUCAAUUAGCGAGACCAAAAAAGUGUAUUUGAUUAUGCAAUGGCUGGAAGACCACUAAAUAUCAGAUUAACCAGUUGGACACACUGGAUAUUGGCAAUUAUUCUGCUGCUGUGGAGUCAUCAGGUCAGUGGACAAGGACAAGGAGAAAAUGAGGUCUUUAGAGCCCUUAUGCAGGACGUACAAUACAGGUUCAGUAGUCUACUUGUUUGUCUCUUCCCACCUUGCAGGUGAAUGUCCUGACUCUUAGCUGAAAGGUAAGGGUUGCUUCUGCUUUUCUAGGGGAAACACUGUGUUCCUACACUUAAAAGGUCUGUG
rnacentral:lncRNA from 1 species